CCUACGGGUGGCAGCAGUGGGGAAUAUUGGACAAUGGGCGAAAGCCUGAUCCAGCCAUGCCGCGUGUGUGAAGAAGGCCUUCGGGUUGUAAAGCACUUUCAGUGGGGAAGAAAGCCUUGGGGCUAAUACCCUCGAGGAAGGACAUCACCCACAGAAGAAGCACCGGCUAGCUCCGUGCCAGCAGCCGCGGUAAUACGGAGGGUGCGAGCGUUAAUCGGAAUUACUGGGCGUAAAGCGCGCGUAGGCGGUCUGAUAAGCCGGUUGUGAAAGCCCCGGGCUCAACCUGGGAACGGCAUCCGGAACUGUCAGGCUAGAGUGCAGGAGAGGAAGGUAGAAUUCCCGGUGUAGCGGUGAAAUGCGUAGAGAUCGGGAGGAAUACCAGUGGCGAAGGCGGCCUUCUGGACUGACACUGACGCUGAGGUGCGAAAGCGUGGGUAGCAAACAGGAUUAGAUACCCCAGUAGUC
rnacentral:rRNA from 1 species